UACGUAGGGUGCGAGCGUUGUCCGGAAUUAUUGGGCGUAAAGGGCUCGUAGGCGGUUUGUCGCGUCGGGAGUGAAAACCAUGAGCUUAACUCAUGGCUUGCUUUCGAUACGGGCAGACUAGAGGUAUGCAGGGGAGAACGGAAUUCCUGGUGUAGCGGUGAAAUGCGCAGAUAUCAGGAGGAACACCGGUGGCGAAGGCGGUUCUCUGGGCAUGACCUGACGCUGAGGAGCGAAAGUGUGGGGAGCGAACAGG
rnacentral:rRNA from 1 species